rfam:Neurospora crassa OR74A unplaced genomic scaffold supercont12.9, whole genome shotgun sequence.
UAACUUCGGAUUAGGUAGGAAUACCCGUUGAAUUUAAAUAUAUUAAUAAGUAGAAGAAAAAAAAUUAAUAGGGAUUGCCCUAGUAAUAGCGAAUAAAGUAGUAAUAAUUCAAAUUUAAAAUCUAGCUUUGGCCCGAAUUGUAAUUUAUAGAGGAAGUUUUUAGUAAGGCACUUUCUAAAUCCCUUAGAACGGGGCGCUAUAGAGAGUGAGAGCCCUAUAUAGUCGGAUGUUAAUUUAAUAUAAAAUUCCUUUAACGAAUCGAAUAGUUUAGGAAUACUACUUAAAAUAGGAGGUAAAUUUCUUCUAAAGCUAAAUAUUGGUUAGAGACCGAUAAUAUAUAAAUAGAGUAAUUGAAAAAUAAAAAGUACUUUGAAAAGAGGGUUAAAUAAUAUAUAAAAUUAUUAAAAGGGAAGUAUUUAUAAUUAGAUUUACACCGUUCCAAUUAUUUAAUAUUCUUAUUAGUAUAUUUAGGAUAGUUUAAACUAAUAUUGGUUUUAGUAGGGGGAUAAAGGUCUAAGGAAUAUAGCUCUUCUAGGAAUAUUAUAGCCCCGGGCGUAAUACCUUCGCCGGGAUUGAGGUUCGUAUAUUUAUAAGGAUAUUAAUAUAAUAAUUAUUAAUAACCCGUUUUAAAAUACAGACUAAAGAAUUAAGGUUUUAUACGAAUAUUUAGGUAUAAAACCCGUACGUAUAAUAAAAAUGAAUAUAAGUAAAAGCUUCGGCGUAUUAUUAAUUAAUUUUAAUAUAUUCGGAUGGAUUUGAGUAAGAAUAUUAAACUUUAGACCCGAAAGAUAGUAAAUUAUAUUUAGAUAGGGUAAAGUUAGAGGAAAUUUUAGUAGAGGUUUGUAGCGGUUCUAAUAUACAAAUCGAUUAUUAAAUUUAAAUAUAGGGGCGAAAGAUUAAUUAAAUUAUUUAGUAGCUAAUUACCGCCGAAGUUUCCCUUAGAAUAAUAAUAUUAUUCUUUAAUUUUAUAAGGUAAAGCGAAUAAUUAGAGACUCGGGGGCGCUUUUUAGCUUUUAUCUAUUCUUAAACUUUAAAUAUAUAAGAAGCCCUUAUUAUUUAAUUGAAUAUAGGUAUUCGAAUAUAUUAAUAUUAGUAGGCUAUUUUUAGUAAAUAAAAUUAGCGAUGUGGAAUAAACCGAACGCGGGGUUAAAGUACUAGAGUAGACGCUUAUUAGAUACUAUAAAAGGCGUUAGUAUAUUUUAAUAGUAGGACGGUAGCUAUGGAAGUCGGAAUUUACUAAGGAUUAUAUAAUAAUUUACUUACUAAAUAUAUUAGUUUUAAAAAUAGAUAGCGCUUAAACGUCCUACUUAUACUCCGCCUUUAGGGUAGAAAUAAUAUUUUAAAGAGUAAGCGGUUAUAGAAGUUAGUAACGAAAUUUAGGGCGUAAACCUAAGUCGAACGGCCUCUAGUGUAAAUUUUAGUAGUAGUAGUAAAUAUUUUAAUAAGAAUUUGAAGGACCGAAGUAGGGAAAGGUUCUAUAUAAAUAGCGGUUGGAUAUAAAUUAGUCGAUCCUAAACUAUAAAAAAAUUCUAUUUCAAAGGGGUACUUAUAUUUUAUAUAGUAAAAGGGAAACCGAUUAAUAUUCUGGUACUUAAAUAUAAGUUUUAUAUAGUAAUAUAAUUAAAUAUAGAGAUAAUAGUGGGGGCCCCGGGUAGAAUUCUCUUUUCUUUUUAAUAGUUUAUUAUUUUAAAAAUAGUUUAUUUGGAGAUAGGGUUUAAUAGUUGGAAGAGCCUAAUACUUCUAUUAAGUCUAGUACGUUUUCGACGUUCUUUAAAAAUCUAUGGGAGGGAAUAAUUCUUAUAUUAAGUUGUACUUAUAAUUGUAAUAGGUUUCUAAAGUAAAUAGCUUCUAGUUAAUAGAAUAAUAUAGAUAAGGGAAGUUGGUAAAAUAGAUUUAUAAUUUUAGGAAAAGGAUUAGCUCUAAGGGUUAAGUACGUUAGGCUUUAAAUAAACGCUUUAGGAGUAAAUUACUAUUAGCUAAGUAACCGGCCGGCGGCUUUUAAUAUUUAAGUAUAGAAGCCCUUAAUAGAUUUUAAUUGUCCAGCGUACAUUUAAUAACUAAUUUAGAAUUAGUAUAAAUAGGGGGAAUUUAAUUAUCUAAUUAAAAUAUAGUAUUAUAAUGGUUAGAAAGUGGUAUUAAUAUAAUAUAAUUUUUACUUAAUAUUUUAAAUAUUAAAAUAAAGAAAUUUAAUUAAGUGCGGGUAAAUGGUAGAAGUAACUAUAAUUCUCUUAAGGUAGUUAAAUACUUCGUUAUUUAAUUAGUAAUAUAUAUAAAUAGAUUAAUAAAAUUCCUAUUAUCCUUAUCUACUAUCUAGCGAAACUAUAAUUAAGGGAACGGGCUUAGUAGAAUUAGCGGGGAAAGAAGACCCUAUUAAAUUUAAUUCUAAUUUAAUAUUAUAAAAAGAUAUAGGAGGUAUAGAAUAGGUAGGAACUUCGGCGCUAGUAAAAUACUACUAUUCCUAUUAUUUUUUUACUUAUUUAAUUAAGUAGGGCUAGAUUUUCGUCUAAUUUCUAGUUUUAAGGUCCUUCGCGGGCCGACCCGGGUUAAAGAUAUUAUUAAGUAGGGAGUUUAGCUAGGGCGGUAUAUUUAUUAAAUUAUAAUAUAGGUAUUUUAAGGGGGGUUUAUAGAGAAUAGAAAUCUCUAGUAGAAUAAAAGGGUAAAAGUCCCUUUGAUUUUAAUUUUUAGUAUAAAUAUAAAUUAUAAAAGUGUAGCCUAUUAAUCCUUUAGUCCCUCGAAAUUUGAGGCUAGAGGUGCCAGAAAAGUUAUUAUAGGGAUAAUUGGCUUGUAGUAGCUAAGUAUUUAUAGCGAUGUUGCUUUUUAAUCUUUUAAUAUUAGUUCUUCCUAUUAUAUUAAAGUAGAAUUUAGUAAAUAUUAGAUUAUUUACUUAUUAAUAAGGAAUAUAAAUUAGGUUUAGACUAUUAUAAGAUAGGUUAAUUUUACCCUACUAAUAACUUUAUUAUAAUAGUAAUUGAAUUUAAUAUAAGAGGAACCGUUUAUUUAAAUAAUUAGUUUUUGUAAUUAUUUAAUUAGGUAGUACUACAAUACUACUAUUUAUUAGAUAAUAGUUGAACGCUUCUAAAUUAAAAUCUAUAUUAGAACGCAAUAAUACCUCUAGCAUAUUAUAAAUGUAUAAAAAUAGGCUCCAACUUCGUAUUUUAGUAGGCAAUUCCUUUAUUAGUUUUAAAAUAGCUAGUAGUAAUUUGCGUAUUAUAAUUUUAAUACGCAUUAAAUCAAAUUUUUUAUAAACAAUUUAAAUAUACGAAAGGGUCUUAUAAGUAAUAAAGUAGUUUUAUUAUUAUAAUUUAUUAAAAGUAAGCCCUCUUUCGUUUAAAUUUCC